rnacentral:rRNA from 1 species
UUUGCGGAGAGUUUGAUCCUGGCUCAGGAUGAACGCUGGCGGCGUGCCUAAUACAUGCAAGUCGAACGAGGUGCUUGAGUAGCAAUACGAGAGUAUCCUAGUGGCGAACGGGUGAGUAACGCGUGGAUGACCUGCCCCAAAGUGUGGGAUAACAGUCCGAAAGGAUUGCUAAUACCUCAUGUGGUUAUCGGUUUUAGAAAGCGAUAACUAAAGCAGCAAUGCGCUUUGGGAGGGAUCUGCGUCCCAUCAGCUAGUUGGUGAGGUAACGGCUCACCAAGGCGACGACGGGUAGGGGACCUGAGAGGGUGGCCCCCCACAAUGGAACUGA